rnacentral:lncRNA from 1 species
GCUAAAUUUUCUAUUAUUAUGCUUUAUUCUAUUAUCUCUUAUACAAUGUUAUAACAUUUUGAAUUUUUACAUGAUGGAUUAUCAUCUUGACGUGGAGUUGAGAUAGAUGUCAGGCAAAGUUACAUGGAAUAGUAGUUUUGAUAGUUUCACUACUGUGUUAGAGCUGCUCGAUGAUCAGCAUGCUGAUAUGCUGCGCCAGUCCUUCCUGUGGCCCUUGUACCCGUUGAGAGAUCUGCAGUACUCGGGUCAGAUUAUUGAUGCACUUCAAUGUCGAUUGUUGAGUCCAAUCAACGGUGAUGCCCUCCACUUCGCAGUCGGGGGCAAAGUCGCCAAUUUUUCGAUGUUCGAGUUUGCUCUGAUCACGGGAUUAAAGAUUACGGACGAUGAAGAGCUGGUGAUGAGACCAAGAAAAGAAAUAGGCUACAGGACGCUUACUUCGAGGGACAGGGUACUGUGCUUCUUACACAGUUGUUCGACGCAAUUAGGAGAUGUGAUCAGAUGUUAGACAGAUUGAAGUUAGGUCUGGUCUAUAUCCUUGAGAGGGUGAUGCAGUGUCACCACAAAAAGACUGCGAUCGACCUCUUCCAUCUGGAGAUCGUUGACGACAUCGAUCAUUUCAACGACUAUUCGUGGGGCCAGAGAUGUUUUGAUGACACC